GGCCAUCUUUUCAAAACUUCAUCUCUGAACACGAGGCUCGUGGGGAGACAUUGCAGAUUUAAAUCAUAACAGGACUGAGACAGGGCCUGCAAAUCUAAUGGGAAGGCUGUCCGGUUACCAUGGGAACCAGCUGGGAGUGGCCAACGUGGACGGGAAAUCUUAAUCACUUUAACAGAAGGGAUGGAUCAUAUUUAUAAGCGGAAGAAACCAGGACAGGGAGGAAGGAAAGAUUCGAGAUGUAGGAGAGAGAAGACGAUGCUGAAAGUGUUUGAGGGAUUUGUGUGUGGGAUGAACCCCAACUGCCAGGGGAGAAAUCAGACCAGAGGGGCAGAGGCGCCUCUCCGGAAGAAACCAAGUUCUAUUUCCCUCCACUCCCCUCGCCUCUCAAGAUGUUCAGGAAAUACCUGUGAGAUCCAUGAAGGAAUCUAGGAACUUGGUCUCAUGAUGUGCCAUCAGCUUCUACUGCAUGUCAAGUGUCUGCUUAGGGUCUCUAGGUGCUCGGUACAGGGGAGUUGUGACUGUGGAAAUACAAUAUCAAGCAUGUUCUGUUGUGGUUGUUGUUGAAGUUCCAGUUGAUGAACUAUUGUGGUUUAAGGUGGAACUCAAUGUUUGCUCGUAUGAAUAUUGGGAAAGAUGAGAACUGUAUUUUAAUUCCCCACUAGCACCACAGCUUCAGAAAACUUAGCCCAACCUUCCUGAAGAUCCUUCUCACAUGAACAGUAUCAACGGCUGUCUUUUUAUGGCCCUGUUAGUUCUGAAUAAAAUCAUAUGCUGCACAUGUUCUGAGGGGAAGACAUUCAUUCAUACGCUCUCAGUGUUCUCCCUCCCUCCCUUCUUCCUUCCUCUUUUACUCCU